AAAUCGGAACUGAGCUUUGGGUCACCUCCCACCCGUGUUUAUUUUACCUUGUUGCUUCGGCGGGCCCGCCUUUACUGGCCGCCGGGGGGCUCACGCCCCCGGGCCCGCGCCCGCCGAAGACACCCCCGAACUCUGUCUGAAGAUUGAAGUCUGAGUGAAAAUAUAAAUUAUUUAAAACUUUCAACAACGGAUCUCUUGGUUCCGGCAUCGAUGAAGAACGCAGCGAAAUGCGAUACGUAAUGUGAAUUGCAAAUUCAGUGAAUCAUCGAGUCUUUGAACGCACAUUGCGCCCCCUGGUAUUCCGGGGGGCAUGCCUGUCCGAGCGUCAUUGCUGCCCUCAAGCCCGGCUUGUGUGUUGGGCCCCGUCCUCCGAUUCCGGGGGACGGGCCCGAAAGGCAGCGGCGGCACCGCGUCCGGUCCUCGAGCGUAUGGGGCUUUGUCACCCGCUCUGUAGGCCCGGCCGGCGCUUGCCGAUCAACCCAAAUUUUUAUCCAGGUUGACCUCGGAUCAGGUAGGGAUACCCGCUGAACUUAAGCAUAUCAAUAAGCGGAGGAA
rnacentral:rRNA from 1 species